CAGCCGGGAUUCAGGUGCCUGUGGGCAGCUCCCCUUUCCUGCCUCUUGCCUUGCUUCACAACUGAUUGGCUGCAGAACGCCCCCCGCCUCACCUGGAAGUAUGCGGGGACAGGGAAGGCACCAGAGGGGCAGUGCCUUGACCCGUGAUUGGUCAAAUGCUCAUUGCCUGUCAGCUGAGGCAGGGUUAACUGCGUACUUCACGUACCAGCCUCCCCUGCCCGCCCCACACCCCCACCCCAGCCAACACACCAGAGAGAAUGGCCCACUGCUUUGCCCCACCAUUAAGUUGGUCGGAGCUAAGAGCCCAGCCAGCUGGCAUUCUACCCAGGAAGGGCUGUAGUGCUGACAGGCGACUAGCUCGAACGGCGCCAGUCCGAGAACACUACUGCCUCUCUCCUUCCACGAGCUCCGCUGCGGUUGCACUGCUGAUUGGCUGGCUCCACUCUCUUCUAAGUGGCUUAGCCUUGUGUUCGCUCAGGGACACAUCCAAUGAGGAGCGAGGGCGCUUUCAGGAGGCGGGCAUUGUUCGACCGGUUCCACUUCUGAUUGGUCCAGGGGCUUGCCUCUUCUCUUUUGAUUGAUCAGAGGGGCGGGAGGCGGGAGACCAGCUCAACGGUUUCAGGCGGCAGUUGGAGUUCUGUCCCUGUGCUUCAAAAGUUCAGCUUCAGGGCUCGGUGGAGUGUUGGCUGGCGCCUACUUCCCCGCAGCUAGCUGAGGAACUGGGGAGGGAACAAGGGGGCAGGAGGACCUGGGACUGUCGCUGCAGCUCCAAGUCGGGAUGGAGACCGACUGAGGCGAGUGACGGACCGGCGGGUGCAAACCCCUCAAAAAGCUGGAAGAGUCAGGUGCUGUAAUAGUAGUAACAGCAGCUCCCGCUCACCGAGCCCUUUUGGUGUACCGCUGUGUGUGCAUCAUCUCACUGACUCCUUCUAAAUAACCCUGUGAGGAAGCAGAUUACUCUGCCGGUUAACCUCCGAGGGUCAUUUGUCGCCCACAGCGAGAGCCGGCAUUGCUAGAACUCCGACCUUGUUCUAGAGAGUCCGGCAUUCGAGCUACACUAUGAUUAAGUAGGGUUGAUCUUAUAGAUGUGGGGUGGGGCCUGAUGUGAUCACCUUGGCCCUGGCUUACCUCGUCCAUACAUGAAGGUGUUUGGGUUUUGGUUUUGGACUAGGAUCUGAUCCUGAAGGCUUCACUCAGUACGUAUGCUCAAGUCCUCAAACUUUUAGAGAAUGGUUUAACCCUUCCUGGCAACGCUGCACGCCCUGCCACGUGAACAAACUUGGGCUGGCCUGCGGUAGACACAUGGCCCAGUUCAGAGCCAUUACCCCAGCCACCUACACCCACUGCCAGCCAGCCAUACAUGUGAGUGAAACCACCCCAGACCAAACAGCCCCCAGUCACCCCACUAGCUGACUGCAGCUGCGAGAGUCAGCCCAGGUGAGACCAACUGGAGAACUGAACUGCCUGGCUGGGUUCAGCCCAAAUGGUCCGGAAGAAUCAGGAGCUACAAAAUAAUAAUUAUUUUAAGCCA